UGAAGGAUGAAGGCGUUCUGCGUUGUAAACUUCUUUUAUUAGGGAAGAAACCGCUGAUUUCUAUUGGCGUUGACGGUACCUAAGGAAUAAGCACCGGCUAACUCCGUGCCAGCAGCCGCGGUAAUACGGAGGGUGCAAGCGUUAUCCGGAUUUACUGGGUUUAAAGGGUGCGCAGGCGGUUCUUUAAGUCAGGGGUGAAAUACGGCAGCUCAACUGUCGCAGUGCCUUUGAUACUGAAGGGCUUGAAUGGUCUCGAAGACGGCGGAAUGGGACAAGUAGCGGUGAAAUGCAUAGAUAUGUCCCAGAACCCCGAUAGCGAAGGCAGCUGUCUAGGGAUCUAUUGACGCUGAUGCACGAAAGCGUGGGUAUCGAACAGGAUUAGAUACCCUGGUAGUCCACGCCCUAAACGA
rnacentral:rRNA from 1 species